UGCUCACGCAAUGAGUGAGUAAAACCAUCUUCCAAAGGAAGAGGGCCUCCAGAGGCAGAUGUGGGCAUGGGCACCGCAGCCUGGAGUCGCAGCUCCUCCACUCCUGGCUUGGACCUCUGAGCCUCACUUCCUCUCCUGUAAAACACGCAUGAGACACACCUGCCUCGUGUGGGCCUGGGCCGCUUGCUAUUACUAAUAAAACAGCAGCAACCACAGGACAGCUUCACUUCCGGAAACUCCCUCUGUCACGUGCUUUGCAUGAAUCCUCACACCGUCUCACUAGGGGCGCUCUCCCCGUUUCACCAGUGACUUGGUGACAACCAGCCUUGCUCACGAAGCGUCAGCCGUAUCCUUUCUGUGUGCAGUGGGGUGUGGGUUGUGUGGAGCCGCGGUGUCUGUGGAAUUCACAGGCUGGGGCCGGAAUCCAUGGCCCCCGUCGCCGCUGCCACCCCCCAGGUGCUGGGGUGACCUGAUCCAGGGUUGGGGUCUAAGCUGCUGGGGGGUUGGAGUCUUGGGCUCUGGCCCACGUCCGCCUCUGAUUGGUUCUACCACCUGAGCCGGUCACUGACCCUCCAUGGGCCUCAGCUUACCCUAUGGUAAAGUGAGAACUAGGGGGUCAGACUCCUUGAUCACCAAGAUCUCUGACCACAGCCAAGGCUAAGGGAAGCGCAGGAAAACGUGGGGCUCGUCCAAAUUCCCAGCCUCUCUCUGCCCCCUGGUGGACGCCGGCAGCCUAGCACCCGGGGGGAGAUGACCCCGACACUGUGUGACCUCUGCCAAGGCACCCAUCCCUCUGAGCCCCAGUUCCCACCGGUUACAUAGGAAUGAUUAUAAUACCCACCUCUUUGGGCAAUUGUGAGGAGGCAAGGAGAUAAUACAUGCAAAGUGCUUGGAUGGGAUGGGUACUAGCCACUCAACAGAAGGCAGAUCCUAGAAUGGGGAUGGCAAGUCCUGUCAUCAGUGAAGAAUGUAAUGACUGCAAGCUUAGAUGACAUGUCUGUUACUGGAAACCAGAGUUGUUUACUUAAGCUGUAAAUGAACUCAUAGUCCCUGGGAUAAUUAUCUCACCUCUGGAUAAAUAAACUCAACAGCCUUAUGUAUUUUAUUAAUUUUUCUUAAAAAAAAGCUUAAAAUAUUUUUCCUUUGAUUUGUUCUCUUUCUUUGGUUUCUGACUUUAUUAUGUCCUUUCUUUCUGCUUAGGCAUUUGUUUUAUUGCUCUUUUUUCACCAACUCAAACUGAAUGGUCACCUUAACAGUUUUAUUGAGGUAUAAUUUACACACCAUAAAAUUCACCUGCUUUAAGGAUACUAUUCAAUGAUUUUUAGUACAGUUACAAAGUUAUGCAACCAUCAUCAAAACCCAAUUUUAGAAUAUUUCAAUCACCCAAAAAAGAAAUAUCACACCCAUUUACAGUUUAUCCCCUUUCCUGCCCCCAGCCUUAGGCAACCACUAAUCUACUUUAUAUAUAGAUUUGCCUUUCCUGGACAUUUCACAAAAAUUGAUUUACGCAAUGAAUGAGUAAAACCGUCUUCCAAAGGAAGAGGGCCUCCCAAGGCAGGUGUGGGCAUGGGCUUGCCACAAUAUGUGGCAUUUUGUGCACUUAAUGUUAUUGAGGAUUAAUCUAUGUUGUAACAUGUGGCGGUAUUUUGCUCCUUUUCAUUGGCAUUCUCUUGGGGGCUUGUUUAUUUUUACAUGUAUUGUUUUCCACUAAAUGUACUUAAAUAUAUAAAUUUGUCUGUAAGUGCUGCUAAAACCCAGCUAAGCUGUGCCCCACCAACUUUAAUGUAGUUUUUCCACUAUUCAGAAGUAAAUAUUUCUCACAUUUCUUUAUGACGUCCUUCUCCACCGAAAGUUACCUACUGUAAACUAAAAAUAAAAUCCUAAGUCCCCCACCAACUGAAUGGAUGCCCCCCUUGGCCAAGGGGACACCAGAAAAAACUUAGGAAUGGAGUUCCAGCCAUGGCAGGACAGGAGGUCCCCUUUGUAGUUUAGACACAACAGCUGACCAGCAUUGAUGUUAAAAUAGAGAGCAUAAGACUGACAGAACAGACUUUUGUGGCAAUAAGAUACAAAAUUAUAGGCUGGGCGCGGUGGCUCACGCCUGUAAUCCCAGCACUUUGGGGAGGCUGAGGCGGGCAGAUCACUUGAGGUCAGGAGUUUGAGACCAGCCUGGCCAACAUGGCAAAACCCUGUCUCUACUAAAAAUACAAAAAUUAGCCGGGCAUGGUAGUGCACAUCUGUAAUCCCAGCUACUUGGGAGGCUGAGGCAGGAAGAUCACUUGAACCUGGGAGGCGAAGGUUGCGGUGAGCCAAGAUCACGCCAUUGCACUCCAGCCUGGGCAACAGAGUGAGAUUCCAUCUAAAAAAAAAAAAAAAAAAAGAUACAGGCCAGGCCAGGCAAGGGUUAAGUCACCCACCCCUACACUUAAAGAAUAAACUAAGUUCUAACAGCCACAAGGUUUUUCGUUUUCUCUAGCAGAACAAUAAGCACUGGCCUUGAGAUAAGCAAUAUGAAAAUAAUUGCAGCACAUCCACUAACUGACCACUGUUUCCAUAAGCCAUAACUACAGCUUGGACUGGACAAGAGACUGAUAUCAAUAAUUUUCUCCUGAUAGUAAGACCACCGACCACGGACUGGUUCUGGCCAGUUUACAGAGGCUGUGCACUUGAGCGCUUUUGUGUCCUGAAAAGACCUUUUGACAUCUAGGGCCUAAUUGUAAUAUAUUUAUUUAUUUAUUAUGAUUAUUAUUUUUGAGAUGGAGUCUCGCUGUUGCCCAGGCUGGAGUGCAGUGGCACAAUCUCGCCUCACUACAACCUUUGCCUCCUGGGUUCAAGCAAUUCUCAUGCCUCAGCCUCCUGAGUAGCUGGGAUUACAGAUGCGUGCCACCACACCCAGCUAGUUUUUGUAUUUUUAAUAGAGACAGGGUUUUGCCAUGUUAGCCAGGCUGGCCUCAAACUCCCGACCUCAAGUGAUCUACCUGCCUCAGCCUCCCCAAAGUACUGGGAUUACAGGCGUGAGCCACUGCGCCUGGCCUCAUAAUUGUAAUACAUUUAAAUGUUAAGUGUCCACUCCAGCCGGGCGCGGUGGCUCACGCCUGUAAUCCCAGCACUUUGGGAGGCCGAGGCGGGUGGAUCACCUGAGGUCAGGAGUUUGAGACCAGCCUGGCCAACAUGGUGAAACUCCAUCUCUACUAAUAAUACAAAAAUUAGCUGGGCGUGGUAGUGCACAUCUGUAAUCCCAGCUACUUGAGAGGCUGAGGCAGGAGAAUCACUUGAACCCGGGAGGCCGAGGUUGCAGUGAGCCGAGAUCGCGCCAUUGCACGCCAACCUGGGCAAGGGCCUGUCUCAAAAAAAAAAAAAAAAAAGUGUCCACUCCAGGGUGAACAUGAGUCUCCAAAAUUUUAAUAUAAACAAAACGUGAAAUCUUGUUCUUCCACACAUUCCCCACACAAGUGCUGCCAAGAUCAUCUGAAAAGUUUUAAUCUACAAAGAAAGGUCCAGGACCAUUGUCCAUGGCUCUGCCCCUCCUACCCCCGGCUUUUCAGUUCCUUAUCUCCCCAUCACAAUGCCGUCCUUCCCCACUUCACCGUGCCCCGAUGUCCCUGACAACCCUCUGCAACUAGUCAAAGCCCCGGACUACCGUUGGGCCCACAAAUUCAUGUCUUUCCUGCUUGCUUGCUCCACCAAUCAAGCCACUUCUCUUUCUAGGCCUCCUCAAGACCUCCUUCAAUUUCUGCCUAUCCAUCAACUCAUUUCUGCCUCCAUUUUCCUCUUUAACCAGCUUAAAUGUCAUGUUCCAUCAUUUCAAUCACUUCCUUGCAAACAUCCUAAAAUCCUUGGCUCUCCCUUUGUCCUCAGCACCAACCUAUCAAAACUCCAAACAUGUUCAGGCAUGGUGGCUCACGCCUGUAAUCCCAGCACCGAGGCCAACGCGGGAGGAUCACUUGAACUCAGGAGUUCGAGGCCGCCUGAGCAACACAAAGAGACCUUGACUGUACUGGGGAAAAAAAAAAUAGCCAGGUAUAGUGGUGUGAACCUGUAGUCCCAGCUACUCAGGAGGCUGAGGUGGGAGGAUUUCUGGAGCCCUGGAGAUCGAGGCUGCAGUGAGCUAUGAUUGCACCACUGCAUUCCAGCCUGGACAACAGAGCGAGACUGUUUCUAUUUUUUUUUUUUUUUUUUUGAGACGGGGUCUUGCUCUGUCACCCAGACUGGAAUGCAGUGGUGCGAUUUCGGUUCACUGCAAGCUCCGCCUCCCAGGUUCACGCCAUUCUCCUGCCUCAGCCUCCGGAGUAGCUGGGACUACAGGCACCCGCCACCUCGCCCGGCUAAUUUUUUGUAUUUUUAUUACAGACGGGGUUUCACUGCAUUAGCCAGGAUGCUCUCGAUCUCCUGACCUCAUGAUCCGCCCGCCUCGGCCUCCCAAAGUGCUGGGAUUACAGGCAUGAGCAACCGUGCCCAGCCUGACUCUGUUUCAAGAAACAAAACAAAACAAACCCUCCAAACUCUAGGUGAACCUAACUAUGCCUCUCCUUUAUGCUUACAGCCAGGCCAGGAAGCAUUUUUUAAGAACUACUGGGGGUGUAAGUAACACUAUAAAUUCAGUCACCAACCUCAAUGCCGUUAGACAAUUCCAGUGCAUUUUGAUGUUUAGUUGCACUGUCCUCAGACUUCAAGCUUCCCUUCUAGCUCCUCGCUCUCAGCAGAUCACCUAAUGUUAUAGCUGCCUAAUCCUCCUUUCCUUCUCACUGCUGAAAGAUGUUCCUUCUGUGCUCAGAAUUCCAUCCCUCCAGGCUUCUCUGGAACUUUGCACUAUUCAUUGGCAGGAGAUGAGACUGUGUGGGGGGAGAGGAGUUAGGAGAUGGUUGCAGGGGUACUUGUUUUCAAAUGCAAAUAAGGUUAUACUUCUCCCCAACAAGCAAUCCUUUGAUACCUUUCCAUUGCUCUGAAGAUUUUUUUUUUUUUUAAAUGGGGUCUUGCUCUGUUGCCUGGAGUGCAACAGAGUGCUAGAGUGCGGUGGUGCAAUCUUGGGUCACUGCAACCUCUGCCUCCCGGGUUUAAGCAAUUCUUCUGCCGCACCCUCCUGAGUUGCUGAGACUACAGGCACACGUCACCACACCCAGUUAAUUUUUGUAUUUUUAGGAGAGACCGGGUUUCACCAUGUUGGCCAGGCUGGCCUCGAACUCUUAACCUCAAGUGAUCUGCCUGCUUUUGGCUCCCAAAGUGCUGGGAUUACAGGCCUGAGUCACCACGCCCAGCUUGAGGUGGGGGUUCUACUCCAGAUGGGUUGCUCAGGGAAGGUCCUCUGAGGAGGUGGCAUCACCUGAGUCCUGAAUCACAGGCAUGCACCAGCACACUCAGCUAAUUUUUAAACUUUUUGUAGAUAUGAGGUCUCACUCUAUUGCCCAGUCUGGUCUCAAACCCUAGGCUCAAGCGAUCCUCCUGCCUCAGCCUCCCAAAGUGCUGGGAUUAUAGGUGUGAGUCAUUGUGCCUGGCCAAGAUGAUUAAUUUGAAUGUCAUAUUUAAUUAAUUUGCUUAAUUGUAGUAAUCUUUUUUUACCUGAACCCAUAGAAUUUUGCAGGCACCAUCUGGCCAAGUUUCAGGAGUCAAUAAUACCUUGGAAAAAUUUAAAAGUUCAUUAUAUGGUUUACUUUUGUUAUCAAAUAACUACAUUUUUUGUAAAAUUUAUUAGACAAUCCAAUAAUUUUUCUUCCAGAUUUAAUACUACUCUAGUGUUCUCUGUUUUCUCCUCCAGAUCCAUUAUUUAUUCUUCUCCAUCUUGUUCUGUGUUCCUGGAAGCCAACCUUUAUAAGCUGCAGGAAAUGGAUUUCCUACUCUCCACCUUCUGAUUGGGCUUGACCAACGGGGAGCACUGGCAGAAGACAAGCAUGGGAGGAAAAAGAGAUCAGGGUAUUCAUUUCCCCAGAUCCCUCCCUGUCCUCUACUUAAAGGUCAUAAGUCCAUCCAGGUGUCAUCUCUUAUGUAGGAUUCUAGCGACAUCUUCUCCCCUUGUUCCUUUAGGCUUAGGAGUAAUAACACUUUUCUGUUCUUGCUAGUCCUGAGGAUAAGUGUUUUGUCACCUCUUGUUGAUUUCCCUGACUUCAAAUACCAAACACUAUUUUUUUGCUAUUUUUGAACUUUAUGUAAGUAGAAUCAUACAGUAUAUAUUUUGGGGGGUAAGGUUUUUUUUGUUUUGUUUUACUCAAUAAUAGGUUUGUGAGCAUCAUCCAUGCUAUUGCAUAAAACAGUAGUUUGUUUUCAUUGCUGCAUAGUAUUUUUCACUUAUACAUUGUACUAUUAAUAAAUAUUUGAGGGUUUUUUUUCCCAAAAGUGCAUAUGUGUCUCUUGGCUGUACACCUAAGAAUAAAACUUUGGGUGACAGGAUAUGUAUACCUUCAACUUUAGUAAACAAUACCAAACUGAUUUCUAAAUGCUAGUACGCAUUUACAAUUCUACCUGAAAUGUAUGAGUUACCAUCAUCUGUAGGAUCUAUAGUGAUUUCUCCCUUUUCAUUUCUGACAUUUCUUUUUUUGUGUCCCUUUUUCCCUCUUUCCUUUCCUUUUCUUUCUUUCCUUCCUUCCUUUCUUCUUUCUUUUUUAUUGAGAGUCUUGCUCUGUCACCCAAGCUAGAGCGCAGUGGUGUGGUCAUGACUCACCACAGCCUCGACUUCCCAAGCUUAAGCAAUCCUCCCACCUCAGCCUCCUGGGCAGCUGGGACUACAGGCAUGUGCCACCACACCUGGCUAAUUUUUUGACCCAUUAUUGAGAAGUAUGUUAAAAUUCCCAUUGUGGUUUUGAAUUUGUCUAUUUCUUUUUUGAGUUCUGUCAGUUUUUGCUUUAAGUAUUUUGAGGCUAUGUUGUUGGAGAAUCUAAGUUUAGAGUUAUUUUAUCUUUUUUUAAUUUUACUUUUUUUAGAGAUGAUGUCUCCCUGCCUAGGCUGAUUUGGUCUUAUUUCUGAGCUCAAGGGAUCGUCCCACCUCAGCCUCUGGAGUAGCUGGAACUACAGCACGUGCU
rnacentral:lncRNA from 1 species